rnacentral:rRNA from 1 species
UGGGGAAUCUUCCGCAAUGGACGAAAGUCUGACGGAGCAACGCCGCGUGUAUGAUGAAGGUCUUCGGAUUGUAAAGUACUGUCAUUGGGGAAGAACGGUUUUCUUGAAAAGAUUGAGAAGACAUGACGGUACCCAAGGAGGAAGCCCCGGCUAACUACGUGCCAGCAGCCGCGGUAAUACGUAGGGGGCAAGCGUUGUCCGGAAUUAUUGGGCGUAAAGGGCGCGUAGGCGGGCCUUUAAGUCCGGUGUGAAAGAUCAGGGCUCAACCCUGAGAGUGCAUCGGAAACUGGAGGCCUUGAGGACAGGAGAGGAAAGUGGAAUUCCACGUGUAGCGGUGAAAUGCGUAGAUAUGUGGAGGAACACCAGUGGCGAAGGCGACUUUCUGGACUGUAACUGACGCUGAGGCGCGAAAGCGUGGGGAGCAAACAGGAUUAGAUACCCUGGUAGUCCACGCCGUAAACGAUGAGUGCUAGGUGUAGAGGGUAUCGACCCCCUUCUGUGCCGCAGUUAACACAAUAAGCACUCCCGCCUGGGGAGUACGGCCNCAAGGUUGAAACUCAAAUGAAUUGACGGGGGUCAUAGCUGUUUUUCCCU